AUUGAACGCUGGCGGCAGGCUUAACACAUGCAAGUCGAGCGAGCGGCGGACGGGUGAGUAAUAUCUGGGAAACUGCCCGAUGGAGGGGGAUAACUACUGGAAACGGUAGCUAAUACCGCAUACCAUCAGAGGUGCCCAGAUGGGAUUAGCUAGUUGGUGGGGUAAGGGCUCACCAAGUCGACGAUCCCUAGCUGGUCUGAGAGGAUGACCAGCCACACUGGAACUGAGACACGGUCCAGACUCCUACGGGAGGCAGCAGUGGGGAAUAUUGCACAAGGGGCGCAAGCCUGAUGCAGCCAUGCCGCGUGUGUGAAGAAGGCCUUCGGGUUGUAAAGCACUUUCAGCGGGGAGGCGGUACCCGCAGAAGAAGCACCGGCUAACUCCGUGCCAGCCGCCGCGGUAAUUC
rnacentral:rRNA from 1 species